AUUGAACGCUGGCGGCAUGCCUUACACAUGCAAGUCGAACGGCAGCACGGGAGCAAUCCUGGUGGCGAGUGGCGAACGGGUGAGUAAUAUAUCGGAACGUGCCCAGUCGUGGGGGAUAACGUAGCGAAAGCUACGCUAAUACCGCAUACGAUCUAUGGAUGAAAGCGGGGGAUCGCAAGACCUCGCGCGAUUGGAGCGGCCGAUAUCAGAUUAGGUAGUUGGUGAGGUAAAGGCUCACCAAGCCGACGAUCUGUAGCUGGUCUGAGAGGACGACCAGCCACACUGGGACUGAGACACGGCUCAGACUCCUACGGGAGGGCAGCAGUGGGGGAAUUUUUGGACGAAAUGGGCGGCGAAGACCU
rnacentral:rRNA from 1 species